AGAGUUUGAUCCUGGCUCAGAACGAACGCUGGCGGCAUGCCUAACACAUGCAAGUCGAACGUGAUCCUGGGUUUCGGCCUGGGUGAAAGUGGCAGACGGGUGAGUAACGCGUGGGAACCUGCCCUGUGGUAGGGAAUAACUGCGGGAAACUGCGGCUAAUACCCUAUGUGCCCUGAGGGGCAAAGAUUUAUCGCCAUGGGAGGGGCCCGCGUCGGAUUAGGUAGUUGGUGGGGUAACGGCCCACCAAGCCUUCGAUCCGUAGCUGGUCUGAGAGGAUGAUCAGCCACACUGGGACUGAGAUACGGCCCAGACUCCUACGGGAGGCAGCAGUGGGGAAUAUUGGACAAUGGGGGCAACCCUGAUCCAGCAAUGCCGCGUGGGUGAUGAAGGCCUUCGGGUUGUAAAGCCCUUUCGGCGGGGAAGAUGAUGACGGUACCCGCAGAAGAAGCCCCAGCUAACUUCGUGCCAGCAGCCGCGGUAAUACGAAGGGGGCUAGCGUU
rnacentral:rRNA from 1 species